AGUUACGUUUAAAUCUCCCAAUUAAAACCAGUAUUAAUAUAAAGAUAGGGUGAGGUCAGUACGUGACUCGGUAACAACGUUAUCUAGGAGAGAGUUGCUACAUUGUUGCGCAUAUCAUUAAAACAGAUUGCCUUUUAAUAACGAGCAAAACAACCAAUACGUGCUGUUCCAUCAGUGCGUCACUCAAAUUAUAAUUUGCGUAAUUACUGGUGGUAGGACUUCUUGUGAGUCCGCACGGGCCGGGGGCCAACCUCCUACGAGGCAUGUGGGACUUGACGAUCUGCAAGGUGUUGGGAGCAGACCACGGGCCCAAGGAAUUUUAGGGCCCUACCGCACUAAAUGACUCCCCUGCACUCUUACACCCGACGUCCGAUCUCCGUCCGGGGUCAAAACCCAGUCAGAGUAGGGAGGUUCCCACGGUCAACACUACAAUCAGACACGCGGCGCCACCCUGAGGACACACGACCGACGGGUCGAGGCGAUAGUCGACGACCAACGACGUCGGUCUCCGCGGUACGGCGGUCCUACCAGGCCGCCCGGGCGAUGCCGCUGGUAUUCCGGGAUACCCCGCUGGGCCUGAACCAGCCUGCCGGGUCGGAACGCGAUACACGGGCCGACCGGGUUACUGAACACAGACACCCCGCAAGCCUCGCCACACGACCGGUCCUGCACAUAGCGGAGUCCUACGAUUUCAAUAGGUCGUCGGUCUACUUGUCAACUCUGUAGAAUCUUUUUGAAUUAAAGUCGAAUAAAACA